UGAUGUCCUUGUAAGUGUACAUGACUA
rnacentral:sRNA from 1 species